AAUAAAAAAAAUUAUUUUAAUUUUUUUUUAAAUAAAUUAAAUUAAUAAAAAUAUUUUUAUUAAAAUUUUAUUUUUAGUAUUUUUAAAGAAAAAAUUAAAUAAAUUAUAGUUUAUUAGUAUAUUGAUAGAAAUUUGAAAAUUUUGAAAAUUAAUUUUUUAAAAAAGUAUAUUUUAUUUAUAGUACCUUGUGUAUCAGGGUUAAUUAAAAAAAUUAUAUAAAUUAUAUAUUUCUCGAAUUUAAAAGAUCUAUUUAUAAAUUAUUUUUAAUGUUUAAUAAUUAUAAUAAAUUUAUAAAUAGAAAUGAAACGUUUUUCGUUUUUAAAGUUAUCUAGUUUUUUAAUAAAUAAAUUUAAUUUAUAUAUUAUUAUAAUAAUUAUUUUAAUUAAUUAAAAUAAUUAUUUUUAAUAUAAAAGUUUUAAGGGAUUAGCUUUAAUUCUUAUAUUUAUAAUUAAUUAAUGUAUUUAUUUAAUUUAUAAAUUAGGCUUAGAAUUAGCUUUAAUUUAAAAAUUGUAAUAAAUUUAUAAAUUUAUAAAUUUAUAAAUUUUAUUUAAAUUUAAGUUUAUAUUAAAAUUAAUUAAUAAAUAAAUUAUUAAUUUAAAUAAUGAUUAAAUUAGUAAAUAAAAUUAAUAUUUAAUUUAAUAUUUUAUGAUAGGUAAUUUUAAUGAAUUCGGCAAAAAUUUAACUCGCCUGUUUAACAAAAACAUGUCUUUUAGAAUUUUAAAUUAAAAGUCUAAUCUGCUCAAUGAAAAUUUUUAAAUAGCCGCAGUAUUUUAACUGUGCAAAGGUAGCAUAAUAAUUUGUCCUCUAAUUAAGGUCUAGAAUGAAUGAUUUGACGAGGUUAAAACUUUCUCAUUAUUAUUAAUUAUUGAAUUUAAUUUUUAAGUUAAAAAGCUUAAAUAUUAUUAAAGGACGAGAAGACCCUAUAGAGUUUUAUAUUUUAUAUUGUAUUAAAAUUAAAUUUUUAUUUAAUAUAAUAAAAAUUAUUUUACUGGGGAGAUAUUUAAAUUUAAAAAACUUUUUUAUUUUUUUUAACAUAGAUUAAUGAAUUUUUGAUCCUAAAUUUUAGAUUAUUAGAACAAAUUACCUUAGGGAUAACAGCGUUAUUUUAUUAAAAGUUCUUAUUAACAAUAAAAAUUGCGACCUCGAUGUUGGAUUAAAAUUUAUUUUAGGUGUAGAAGCUUAAAAAUUAGGUCUGUUCGACCUUUAAAAUUUUACAUGAUCUGAGUUCAAACCGGUUUAAGCCAGGUUGGUUUCUAUCCUUAUUUAUAUAAAAAUUUUUAGUACGAAAGGACCAUAAUUUUAAAUUAAUUAUAAUUUUAAAUAAAUGAAUUUUAUUAAUUU
rnacentral:rRNA from 1 species